ensembl:lncRNA
AUGCUUGUGGUGGCCUCGGGCUCGUUGCAUCCGUUUUUUUGGGAAUGUCACUGGUUUCCUGCAGUUUGCUUAGAAGUGGGUCCUGCUUUCCCCAGGCAGGCUGGGGACCGGCAUCAGAGGAGGGCGGUGGCAGUGCCACGGAGCUGGGACAGUCCCCGCGGGGAUGUGGGGUGGAUAAAAGGGGCCGCGUCCGCCUCCCGCCACUUCCCAUCUGUGCCGACAAAACCCACAGGAUGCCGUCACUCUCCAGCCGGGAUUCCUGGCUCUGGUGGCUGUUCCCGCUCUGUGCCGAGUCCCCGAACAUCUGGGAUGUCAAAUCCUCGUGCGGAGGGGACGGGGCAGCCUCAGGCAGCUCCUGCUGCCAGCGGGGUGACAGCGCUGUCCUGUGCCCUGCCCUGCUGGGACAUUGCUGGGUGGCCUGAGCGGGUCCAACACCUGGAUCACAGCGUGUCCUGGCUGGAAUAUUGUGUCCUGGAUGGAAUAGCAGCUCCCAUCUGGGAUAUCACCUCCCAGCUGGAAUAUCAUGUCCCAGCUGCUUCCUCCCCUCCUCACCAGGCCAAACUCAGCCCUCAGCCCCCGCCGCUCCCUCAGGAGUUUGUGGGGAUUAAAAUUCAGGUUCUGGAGCAGAGGAAAAACCCCAUGGAAAUCUCUAGGACCUCAUGGAAAGCUCUGGGACAACGUGGAGCAAGAUCCAUGUGCUGUGGCUGGGAAAGGAGCAGGAUGCUGACGGAAUGGGAUGCUGGAGGAAUAGGAAGGGCACUGCACAAACACAUCCCUGUCACGGAUUUUCCCGUUCUCCGGACACCGAAUCCGGAAUGCGGGGACAGGAGCGCGUCCAUCCCCAACCAGGACCUGCCGCAGGAUCAGGAUCCGGCAGCUUUGGGCUCCGCUGGCUCCUUCCCUGCUCCUCCCUUCCCCCAGCAAGAUGCCAGAGCCCUGAUGGAAAGCAGCCGGCUCGGGAGGCGUGCGGGGUUAACCAGAGCCAGAUGGGAGCCCGGAGGAGCAGGCUGGGCCCGCAGGGGGGAGCGAGAACGGGAUCUUUUCCUGGAGAAAGUCAAUUCCUUGGAGCCUCAGGAAAGCACGCGAUGGCUUCAAAGGGAGCCGGGUUGGCAGAGGCGGCCCUGGAAGCGGGUGGCCCGUCCAGGGUGGGAUGCAGAUCCCGCCGGGAAGCAACAGGGGGUUGGGGCGGCCCCGUCCCUGUGGUUCCCAGGUCGGGUGGGGGCUUUUCCCCCUCCAGGGAUGAUGGAAAUUGGGGGCUCCAGAUGUGGGGAGAGAUGGAAAUGGUCAGGCAAGGGAAGAUGGGCAGCGAAUCCCACUCUGCUGUGCUGGGUGGGAGAGCUGGAAGUGCCUGAUUUCCCUCUAAAAUUGGCACCAGCAGCUCCGGCACCACCGAAGGCUUCUCCCAUCCCGGCAGCACUUUCCCAUCCAUUUCCCCUUCUUCCUCUGGUUUUCCUCAUUUUCCUCCCUCUCCUCUGUCUCCACUCCCCUUCCCACUCUCCCUCUGCCUUGCCCUGCAUCCAGCUCAGCUCUGAUCCCUCCGGGGUGAUGAAUCCCACCGGGAAAAGCCUGGAGAGCCCCCCGAGGUCUGUGCCCAGGAAUCCCACCCCGAUCCAGGCCUGCUCCAGCUGGGGAAUGUGGGAGCAUCCAAACACCUCCUGCAUGGGGAGCUCCUCUGCUGGAUCCCUCCAUCCUCCAAGGCAGCAGCCGGAGAAUUCCCAGAAAAUCUGGCCAGGAUGA